rnacentral:rRNA from 1 species
GAUGAACGCUGCCGGCGUGCUUAACACAUGCAAGUCGAACGAAGCAUUUAGAACAGAUUACUUCGGUUUGAAGUUCUUUAUGACUGAGUGGCGUACGGGUGAGUAACGCGUGGGUAACCUGCCUCACACAGGGGGAUAGCAGUUGGAAACGACUGGUAAUACCGCAUAAGCGCACGGUACCGCAUGGUACAGUGUGAAAAACUCCGGUGGUGUGAGAUGGACCCGCGUCUGAUUAGCUAGUUGGUAAGGUAACGGCUUACCAAGGCGACGAUCAGUAGCCGACCUGAGAGGGUGACCGGCCACAUUGGGACUGAGACACGGCCCAG